CUCUUGGAACCUUCUCAGAAGGACAUGUAUUGGGAUGUGAUGCUGGAGAACUAUGAGAAUUUUGUCUCUCUUGGAGGCCUUCCUAUUUCCAUACCAGAUGUGAUCUCCCAGUUGGAAAGAAUAGAAGCCCCAUGGAUGGCAGAGAAAGGUGUCCUGAUUAGCACUUUUCUAGAUUCCCUUAGUCAGAAGACAAGGUGUGAAACCAAGAAGCCAACUCGAAAGCAGAAUAUAUUUAUGAAAGAACCAUUUCAAGA